UAAUCGACAUAUUUUAAAUAUCAGAAAAAAAAAUCCCAAACCCUUCUUCUUGCGCCUUCACGAUUUUGCAGCUCCCAUAAUCUCAAACCCUCUUGUGCGUUCGAUUUCUCAGAUUCAACUCCGAUGAAUCUUAGAAAUCGUUCGACUCCUUCAAUGAAGCUUGGAAAUCGUUCGACUUUAGUGAAUCUUCCAAAUCGUUCGACUCCGGUGAAGCUUCCAAAACGUUUGACUUUGGUGAAGCUUCCAAGACGUUCGACUUCGACGCAGUGGUAAUCUUCCCUUCUCUUCUGCAACUUCAAAAAAGCAUCAUAGAAUUGGAAGAUAGAAAGCAAAAAGAAGUCUGCAAUUCCAGGUACAAUAGAAGGGAUGAGUUUGGAGUUUAACCACAUGGUUGUUUUGCCCAACUGCAACCGUUCUUUGUGCUUAAAAUGUUAUCGAAACUGUGUCCUUUACAAGUGGGAAUUGUCGAAUGUGGGUAUUAUGUUAUAAGAUAUAUGCAAAAAAAUCGUGGCUAAAGAGAAGAAUAUUAUCACAGAUGCAGUAUGUCUUUAAACUACUUAUAUAUAUUGUAACAUUAUAAAUAGUGUAAAUAAUAAAUAAAUAUAUAUUUGACUUUUUAUGUUUUAUGGAUUGAUACGAGGAGCUCGUACUCGCAACUUGAAUUGGAUGAAGUACACGUGGAAUGGGCUGAAUAUUUAGGUCGCUAUAUCUGAUGGGCUUCCUAUAAAUUUUGUGUAUGUGGCUACAUGGGAAUGCCCAAAACUUUUUUUUGUGUAAAUGUUUUGUUAAGCCAUUAUAGGUUGUAUACUUCAAAGAAAUGUGUGGUGGAGGAUAGAAUUUUAGUCUUGUAAUUUUUGGAAUACAUUGCACAUAUAGAUUGGUCUUACAAUUUUGGAAUUAUCAUGUAUUGGGAUGGGUUGAUAGAGUAUAUACUAUUGUACGAUUAAUUUUGUAAAUUUUGGAAUCGUUCAUAUACAUGGAAGGUAAUAGAAGAAUGGAAUUGUUUGUUUUA